rnacentral:rRNA from 1 species
UGGCGCACGGGUGCGUAACGCGUAACCAACCUACCCGAAUCUGGGGGAUAGCCCGCCGAAAGGCGGAUUAAUACCGCAUAAAACUGCAGUCUGGCAUCAGAUAACAGUUAAAGAUUUAUUGGAUUCGGAUGGGGUUGCGUGCCAUUAGCUAGUUGGGGGGGUAACGGCCCACCAAGGCGACGAUGGCUAGGGGAGCUGAGAGGCUGGUCCCCCACACGGGCACUGAGAUACGGGCCCG